UUCAAGGAGCAGGAAACCGGAGAUGAUAGCCCCAACUGGUACGAGGAUAGUGCGCUCUGAUGCUGCGUGGAGUGCGUCUAGUUUGACUGCCGGAGCUGGCUGGGUCAUCCUUUCUUCCCCACAGAACAUGACUUUUCAACAACACCUGGAGUUUGUAGCAUCGCCUCUAAUGGCAGAAGGUCUGGCCCUCCGGGAAGCGGUCCAAACCUGCCAGCGACUGAAGCUGCAACAUAUCAGAUUUGAGUCGGAUUCUGCUCAACUAAUCAAGUGCCUUUCUUCAAAUGAAACGAUUGCAAAGUUGCAUAGUGUAGUCUUUGAUAUCCUGAAGCUAUCUGAGUUUUUUUAUUCAGUGUCCUUUGUUUGGUUACCUCGUGAGAGGAAUGUAGAAGCCGAUGCCUUGGCUAAAGGAGCUUUAGCUCUGUUUGAACCCUUAGUGGUUGGUGAGAUUGUUAAUGCUCCCAACUAACUGCUUUCAUUAUAAUAUAUGAGUUCCAAAAAAAAAAAACAACAUCCCUAUUAUUUGUCUAUACAGAUUGUUUAAUGAUUUUCCCGAUAAUGUGGCAUUUUGAUUUAACAAAUAUUAACGGAUUGUCAACUCUUGAAAUUUUAAGCGCUAAAUAAACAUUUUUAGUGAAAAUUUUAAUAACUCUUAAUAAUUUGAAACUUUUAAACUUGAAUGUUAGUUCUUUAAAUUUUGGAAACCAAAAACUAAUAUUUUAUUGAAUAUCCAUGAUAUAUCGACCCUAUAAUGAGACUCAGGCAAGUGCCGAUGACUCAUGCAAAACUGCAAUCUCUUCUCCCUCUUUUUCUGUUGAUCACCAAAUUUACUAAAGUUUGACUUUAUAUAGAGUAAAAUCAUGAUUCUGUUUUAAAACAGUAUAACACAUUUGUCACUCCUUUGAUGCUUUGUCUUGUAAAUGGAUUCUCCAAUUUAAGUAAAACAAAGAAGAAGAAAAACGAUACCUUCAUAUUCCAAGAAGUAACGAAGAUUACAUCUUAAUUUAAAGGAUUGACAACGCACAAAUGGCUGUACAAUAGAAAACUAACGUAACGCCCUUUUUUGUCACGAUACGUAAGGUAACGCCUAAUAUACCAUAAAUCAAGAUUUGGUUAUAAAUUUCGUACGUAUAUAAAAUUAGUUUUGAGGAGAACAUAGUCAAAUUUAUUAUAAACAAAACACAAGACCGUUAGAGAGAGAAAGGGAUGACGAAGUGGAGUGUGGUGAUGAUGAUAGUAGUGUUGGUGAUAGCUACCAUGGAACGAGAAGCAGAAGGAAGUGUAUGUUUAUUUAAUUGCUUGAAAAAGUGCCGUCACAAGGAUCCUUCCGUGAGAAGAUAUUGUAUCUGCGAGUGUGUUUUCUUGUGCACUAUCGACUUCAAGAGCCCACAAGGCAAUCAACUUGCCGAAAGAAAAUCUUUCUACCAAGCUCUGAACCAAACAUGCGGCCAAACACCUAAUGCUCCAUCACCAUCACCACAGAUGAAAACAAGCUUUAGUAAAGAGAUCCAUACGAGAGAAGAUGUUCAUGGCUCAAUUCUCUAGAUUUUGUAUAAGUGAAAUAAAAAUCAAUAAAAUCUUCAAGUGUUUACUUUA